GAGUUCCUUUUGAAAUAUUUGUUCUCAAGUUCUGAGGGAAUUGUGCCAGUUGGGUUUUUAGUCCCACGUAACAGAAUUUACUCUAGCCAGUUUCAACAGAAACAUAAUUUAUUAGGGUCUAACUUAUAGCUCAGAGAAACUCUGGGAGGGUCAGAGUCAGGGCUUGGUGGCCUCACAACCAGAAACAAAUGAUGAGGUGGCUACACUGAAGACUCCGUCACAGCAUCAGCCACUGAAGACCCUGUUAGAGCGCCCUCUGCUGCUGUCUGCAGUGAAGACCCACAUUGGGACGUCUGCCGCCUCCCCAGUUGGGCGCCUCCACUCCACCCUUCCCAGAAGAGUAGUUCCUGUAUGCUGCCGGUUUCCUCUAAUUGUUCUAGUUCUGGAGGCUGGCAAGUCCAAGAUCAAGAUUGUGGCAGAUCUGAUGUCUGAUUCUGUGGGUCAGGAAUACAACAGGGGACCAUAGAGAUGGCUUGCUUCUGCUCCACAAUGCCUGGGGCUUCAGGUGGGAAGACUUGAACAGCUAAGGAUAACUCAGAAGGCGAGAGCUGUGCAGUGACUCUGUGAUGUCCUCUAUGUUCUGGAGCAGUGCUGUCCAACAGAUAUAUAAAGGGAGCUGCAUACAUAACUUAAGAAAUUCUAGUAGCAACAUUAAAAAGAGCAAAAGAAACAGAACUGCUGAAGUUCAAAACAAGAUGGAGAGGAAUAGAACCUGGGUCUGCUGAACUGUUGCCGCCUGUUAAUACCCAGAUGCUUUAAGUAAAAGGCCAGUCCUCUGUGAUCCAUGUGCACUUAGCUGUCUUUUGUCCUUUCUAAUAAAUAUAGAGAGUAAAAAUUAUUCCACCAAUGCUUAAUAACCCUGUAUAAUGAAGUUUUGUAUAUCUUACAUGGCAUGAAAAUACUUUUUUUUCCCUAGCAAAUUAAUGUUUGAUUCAGUCACACCUGCUUAGAUCUAAGUCUGUCAGAAAAAUCUUAUUAUUAAUGCCAGUAAAAACUGGCCUUGUGUCUGGAAACAUCAGCCAAAGCAUAACGUAUUACAGCUUACAACAGUCAAUACUCAUAAAAAAAGUACUGAGGUUAAGGCCUUCUGUCUGCCUUAUUUUGAUUGCCCUAAUUAAGUGUAGUAUUGAUCUCACAAGAUUUCCUGAUCACUAUGGCAAUAUAUUGGGGAGAGGAGAGUUAGAGUAAUGAUUAUUUCUACCUUCCUCUCUUACCCCCUGAAUUUAGAACUAUUUGAGAAGUAGAUUCAGGGGUCAUUCAGGUGAGGGACAUAUCAGCCUUGUUGUAAAGUGGGUUGGAAAAUGUGGUUGGAUCCACCAUUGGGCUUCCUCAGGUUCUAGACCUUGGGUUAACCUGCCUGAGGGAGAGUUUGAGUGUUCUGAGUGACUCAUGUACUCAGAAUUGCUGCCUUACCCUCUGUGAUCCCUAAUGUGUGAGCAGACAGAGAAGAAAUACAUAACUGGAUACUUAAAAACUGAAGUAUAAUUUAUACAGAAAAAAUGUAUCAUUUUCAGUGUAUAGUUGGGUGAGUUUUGUUAUCACCCCAGGAGGUUCCCUCCUAUGCCUUUGCAGUCAGUCUCCCCUCCUUUCUACCCUUACCUCCAGACCCUGGCAAUCCUGAUCAGAUUUCUGCCCUGAGAGUUUUGCUACUAGAAUGUUAUAUAAAUGGGAUUGUACCGCAUGUAGCAUCCAUGUUGUUGCAUCUGUCAGUAUUGUUGAGUUGUAUUCCAUUGUACGGAUGUAUCACUGUUUAUCUGUUGGCCAGUUGCUGGACAUUUGGGUUGUUUCCAGUUUUUGGCUGUUAUGAAUAAAG